CACGAAGGGGGCUAGCGUUGCUCGGAAUCACUGGGCGUAAAGCGCACGUAGGCGGCUUUCUAAGUCAGGGGUGAAAUCCUGGAGCUCAACUCCAGAACUGCCUUUGAUACUGGAGAGCUUGAGUCCGGGAGAGGUGAGUGGAACUCCGAGUGUAGAGGUGAAAUUCGUAGAUAUUCGGAAGAACACCAGUGGCGAAGGCGGCUCACUGGCCCGGUACUGACGCUGAGGUGCGAAAGCGUGGGGAGCAAACAGG
rnacentral:rRNA from 1 species